CACGUAGGGCGCAAGCGUUGUCCGGAAUUAUUGGGCGUAAAGAGCUCGUAGGCGGUCUGUUGCGUCCGCUGUGAAAACUCGGGGCUUAACCCCGAGCCUGCAGUGGAUACGGGCAGACUAGAGGUAGGUAGGGGAGAAUGGAAUUCCCGGUGUAGCGGUGAAAUGCGCAGAUAUCGGGAGGAACACCGGUGGCGAAGGCGGCCGACUGGGCCGACCCUGACGCUGAGGCGCGAAGGCGUGGGGAGCGAACGGG
rnacentral:rRNA from 1 species